GGGUAACUUCAGGAAACUGGGGCUAAUACCGGAUAGGAGCUCCUGCUGCAUGGUGGGGGUUGGAAAGUUUCGGCGGUUGGGGAUGGACUCGCGGCUUAUCAGCUUGUUGGUGGGGUAGUGGCUUACCAAGGCUUUGACGGGUAGCCGGCCUGAGAGGGUGACAGGCCACAUUGGGACUGAGAUACGGCCCAG
rnacentral:rRNA from 1 species